UAAUACAGAGGUGGCAAGCGUUGUUCGGAAUUACUGGGCGUAAAGGGCGCGUAGGCGGUCCUGUAAGUCUUGUGUGAAAUCCCUCGGCUUAACUGAGGAACUGCACGAGAUACUGCGAGACUUGAGUUCGGGAGAGGAAAGCGGAAUUCCGGGUGUAGCGGUGAAAUGCGUAGAUAUCCGGAGGAACACCGGUGGCGAAGGCGGCUUUCUGGACCGACACUGACGCUGAGGCGCGAAAGCUAGGGGAGCAAACGGGAUUAGAUACCCCGGUAGUCCUAGCUGUAAACGAUGAGUGCUGGGUGUAGGGGGUAUUAACCCUCCUGUGCCGAAGCUAACGCAUUAAGCACUCCGCCUGGGGAGUACGGUCGCAAGGCUG
rnacentral:rRNA from 1 species